rnacentral:rRNA from 1 species
CACCUACGGGAGGCUGCAGUGGGGAAUUUUGGACAAUGGGCGCAAGCCUGAUCCAGCAAUGCCGCGUGCAGGAUGAAGGCCUUCGGGUUGUAAACUGCUUUUGUACGGAACGAAAAGGUUCUCUCUAAUACAGGGGGCAUAUGACGGUACCGUAAGAAUAAGCACCGGCUAACUACGUGCCAGCAGCCGCGGUAAUACGUAGGGUGCGAGCGUUAAUCGGAAUUACUGGGCGUAAAGCGUGCGCAGGCGGUUUUGUAAGACAGAGGUGAAAUCCCCGGGCUCAACCUGGGAACUGCCUUUGUGACUGCAAGGCUGGAGUGCGGCAGAGGGGGAUGGAAUUCCGCGUGUAGCAGUGAAAUGCGUAGAUAUGCGGAGGAACACCGAUGGCGAAGGCAAUCCCCUGGGCCUGCACUGACGCUCAUGCACGAAAGCGUGGGGAGCAAACAGGAUUAGAUACCCUGGUAGUCCACGCCCUAAACGAUGUCAACUGGUUGUUGGGGGUUAAUUCACUCAGUAACGAAGCUAACGCGUGAAGUG